rnacentral:lncRNA from 1 species
AAUUAUAAUUUGAUAUUUAUUAGCCAUAACUAAAUAUUGCCAUGAUGCAUUGCUAUUUGUUCCCUCCUUUUCCCUUUGUCUACCUAUAUAAUCAAUCUUGUAAGGUCCAGUAACAAAGUGAAUUAUUGGGACUCUUGCUAUUUUCCUAUCACUAAUGGACAAUUACAACUUGUCUUUGAUGUUUCUAUUCUUGUUCUAGCAAUAGCGUUUAUGGCAGCAUUUAGCGGACACAGAAGCACAUCUGAAAGUGGAGAGAGACGCGUUUCCCCAUUGCUGGCCGAGUCCCACCACUUUGCUCAGCUAUGAACACCUGACAUCUCGUUUCAUUUUCAUGCAAAAUCUGGAGAUAAUUAUUAUCCACAAUUCUAAGGCCUUAGGCCCCUCCGCAUGAGCCUGCCAUUACCACUUCAUUCCCUUGCACCUGAAAGACUCCAGAGCCCCUUGAAAGAACAGGUCCUCCAAGAGGAGCAUCGCCAGCCAGCCCCUGAAUCUCCUGAGGAAACUCUCAUGCACAUAUCUUGACCUGAGCACAGACCGGACGCCAGCGGAGGGCAGGAGCAAGCAGGACACACUGUGGCUGAGGAGGGGACCCUGGGCUUGUGGGCCUCGGAGAGGCAGAGCAGGGGAGGCAGAUGAGACUGCACACAGCUUUUUGUUUGACAUAUCCUAAGCCCCCUGCACACGCCACUCAAGGUCUUCUCUGUGCCCCAUCUGGUGCAGGAGGCCUGUCUGUCUGUGAAAUUGCUUUUAGCAAUAGCUGUGGAUCACCACUGAGAGGGUGAAUAUACAAAUGAACAAUGGGCAGACCGUCUAUGAUGGCAAAACUUGGACCUCCAACCUUGAGGCCAAAGCACAUCAUGUGCGGCCUCUGGCGGGACUCAGGUCUGGGAAGCGACUGCAGCUUCCCUAUUUUCUAGCUCUGCUUCCAACUAAGAAAGUCAGAUAUUCUCCCCAAACCAACCCCAUAGGAUGCCCGCUGCCAGGUGGCCCACCCCCAGCUUCCCCCUGACAACAGCCUCCACCCAGGGCAUACCCAACCAGAGCCUUCCCAUCUUCUAAUGGGAAGCUUCCCCUCCCCACCCCACCUUCAAGGCUCUGCCACGCGCAGGGACAGUGUAGCCUUCUUGGCUACAGCUUCGAGUGAGCAGCCUCUGCCAUCCUCGCUGAUGUCCCCGGUUACCGUGAAGGCUCCUCCAGGACACUGUCUGCACUGCCUGUCGUCCAGACCCCACCUCUGCCCAGGCACCCUGGCCUUAAUGCUGCAGCCCACAGGGCACCCAGCUGGUGACUGAGGCCUGUUCUGAGCCCCUCGCUGGCACAUUCCUGGACUUCUCAGUUUGGUGCCAGGGCCUCAUUCCUGCUUCCCAUUUGCUCUGUUACAGGGGAAUUAGUCCCUUCCUUUACUCUUUUGUGCUGUGCUUUCUAAACGUGGUGUUUGUCAUAAUAAGAAGCAUGAGGGGCACAUGGAUCAGCCUCACAGACAGGUGAGUCUGUAGCUCUUACCAGACCCUUGUUCACAUCCAUGAACUUGGCUGUGGAUCACCAGGGAAACUGGGUGAGGUUCUGCCAUCCAGGGGUUUUGUCCUGAGAACUUGGCUUUUAGAACAUUCUCUCUGGUUUUUUGCUUGGGGGUGGGGGUCUGGUGCAGGGUGCUGGGUCUGUGUUUGGAGGAGGCCAGCCCGUAGGCUGGGGGCCUGAGACACUGUGCACUGGCGUGAUGCGUCUGCCGCCCAUCACCAGCUUGCAGGGGCAUCCACGGCUGAAUCCUCUGCUCUUCCAGGAAAGACUUAUGCUUCUCAUGGUCCUAGUUCUCAUGCUGAUCUUUCUACUUGGCAAAAUUCACCAAGGGUGACUUGGGUUUUUGGUGGCAACUCUGGGAACAUUUGGCUUGAAAAAUUGUUCAUUUAAGAGAUUCUUUAGAGAAGAAAAUGAGUAAGAUUCCCUAGGCCUAAAUGCAGAGGCCUCCAAAUGAAUUUCUGAAUAAAAAAGUAUUUCGCUAAGAGACUGUUUGGCCAAUGCUAAUGACUGACUUGACAAACCGCCCCUCACCCGCCUGCCCUCCAUGUCCCCCUGUGUCUAGCCCUCCUCCUCCCCCUCGUCCUUUCCUGUUUCUCUCCUUCCACACCUCCAUCAACUGCUUCCUCCUGUCCCCUGUAUCCAGAUGCCCUACCUUUUCCCAACAAUUCUCCCACCACGCUGUAACCUAAACUUCCCCCAUAUUCCUUGAAGCUGGAAACAAAGGGCUGACAGCAAUCAUUGAAGGCCUUGGAUCCAAAGUCCUUCUCAUGCACUUCACUAGCCCUUAUCAC